rnacentral:rRNA from 1 species
GGUAUAGUUCUUCGGAACUAGAGACCGGCGCACGGGUGCGUAACGCGUAUGCAAUCUACCUUGUACAGAGGGAUAGCCCAGAGAAAUUUGGAUUAAUACCUCAUAGUGUUAUUGAAUGGCAUCAUUUAAUAACUAAAGUUCUAACGGUACAAGAUGAGCAUGCGUCCCAUUAGUUAGUUGGUAAGGUAACGGCUUACCAAGACAAUGAUGGGUAGGGGUCCUGAGAGGGAGAUCCCCCACACUGGUACUGANACACGGACCAGACUCCUACGGGAGGCAGCAGUGAGGAAUAUUGNNGAAUGGGCGCAAGCCUGAUCCAGCCAUGCCGCGUGCAGGAUGACUGCCCUAUGGGUUGUAAACUGCUUUUAUACAGGAAGAAACACUGCUACGUGUAGCAGCUUGACGGUACUGUAGGAAUAAGGAUCGGCUAACUCCGUGCCAGCAGCCGCGGUAAUACGGAGGAUCCAAGCGUUAUCCGGAAUCAUUGGGUUUAAAGGGUCCGUAGGCGGCCUUAUAAGUCAGUGGNGAAAUCUCCUAGCUCAACUAGGAAACUGCCAUCGAUACUGUAGGGCUUGAAUUUUUAGGAAGUAACUAGAAUAUGUAGUGUAGCGGUGAAAUGCUUAGAUAUUACAUGGAAUACCAAUUGCGAAGGCAGGUUACUACUAAUGGAUUGACGCUGAUGGACGAAAGCGUGGGUAGCGAAC